rnacentral:rRNA from 1 species
CAGUCGCCGCGGGAAUACGUAGGUCCCGAGCGUUGUCCGGAUUUAUUGGGCGUAAAGCGAGCGCAGGCGGUUAGAUAAGUCUGAAGUUAAAGGCUGUGGCUUAACCAUAGUACGCUUUGGAAACUGUUUAACUUGAGUGCAAGAGGGGAGAGUGGAAUUCCAUGUGUAGCGGUGAAAUGCGUAGAUAUAUGGAGGAACACUGGUGGCGAAAGCGGCUCUCUGGCUUGUAACUGACGCUGAGGCUCGAAAGCGUGGGGCGCAAACAGGAUUAGAUACCCCAGUAGUCCCUGUCUCUUAUACA